rnacentral:rRNA from 1 species
AUUGAACGCUGGCGGCAGGCCUAACACAUGCAAGUCGAGCGGAGCGGCGGACGGGUGCGUAAUGCCUAGGAAUCUGCCUGGUAGUGGGGGAUAAAGUCCGGAAACGGGCGCUAAUACCGCAUACUAUCAGAUGAGCCUAGGUCGGAUUAGCUAGUGGGUUGGGUAAAGGCCUACCAAGGCGACGAUCCGUAACUGGUCUGCGAGGAGGAUCAGUCACACUGGGAUGUAGACACGGUCCAGAAACCGACGGGAGGCAGCAGGGGGGAAGAUUGGACAAUGGGCGAAAGCCGGAUCCAGACAUGCCGGGUGGGUGAAGAAGGUCUUCGGAUUGUGAAGCACUUUAAGUUGGGAGGCGGUAACAACAGAAGAAGCACCGGCUAACUUCGUGCCAGCAGCCGCGGUAAUAC